rnacentral:rRNA from 1 species
AUACGGAGGAUGCGAGCGUUAUCCGGAUUUAUUGGGUUUAAAGGGAGCGUAGGCGGGAGCUUAAGUCAGCGGUUAAAUGGUGCGGCUCAACCGUGCCCUGCCGUUGAAACUGGGUUUCUUGAGAGUGCAAGAGGCGGAUGGAAUUCAUGGUGUAGCGGUGAAAUGCUUAGAUAUCAUGAAGAACUCCGAUUGCGAAGGCAGUCCGCUGGGGCACGUCUGACGCUGAUGCUCGAAGGUGCGGGAAUCAAACAGGAGUAGAUACCCUGGUAGUCCGCACGGUAAACGAUGAUUACCCGCUGUCGGCGGCAGACAGUCGGCGGCCAAGCGAAAGCGAUAAGUAAUCCACCUGGGGAGUACGCCGGCAACGGUGAAACUCAAAUGAAUUGACGGGG